GGAAAGGUUAAGCAAGAAGGCUACCAAGAUUUUAUCAACAUUUCCUAUAACCCUGAUGGAGCCUUUAUACAACAAAUACCGGGCGGUGGUGACACGGUAUCAGCUGUUGCCAUGGAUAUCUAUGGUAAUCUUGCAUGUGCGACGUCCACAGGUGGUAUAGCUGGGAAAAUGAAAGGUCGGGUUGGUGAUGCACCGCUGGUUGGCUGUGGGGCGUACGCUAAUGAACACGGAGCAGCCACUAUAACUGGACAUGGAGAAUCUAUUAUGAAAAUGACUCUGG